GUCCUGCAAGACUCAGCUCGUAAUCGCCCUCCUGUGUUCCUUCCUCAGCCGCUGUGGCAUCCCGGUGCUCUCACUUUGUGACACUCACAUCAAGCUGAGAAACUGCCAUCCCUUUUGCCAUCGACAUGGACGCAUAUUUAGGACGUGGAUGAUUUGGACCCAUCUACUGAUGUGAAUGAACUAUUCAUCAGAAGACAUAUGUAAUCAGUGUGAGAAGUAAGACUAAAAGCUUCUGCUUGGUUCCUGCUUUUCCGUAAAGCUCCAGACCACCCCGGAGGUCACUGACCUGGCCCAGAAUAAUCGUGAAGUUUGAGGUUCAGACAGCUCCACAGUAACAACGACAUGGGAGUACUUGUUCAAAUGCCGACUCUGGACUCACGACACACCUAUACGGGGCAGGUUCUGGCACCCUUCAGCUAUCCUGAUGCGAACUGAAGCUUGAGACUCACUGGCUUAGGGGAAGGUUUAUAGUUAUGAAGAUGGACAACUGAAUUUUAAUUUUUUACUAAAUAAUGAUACCC
ensembl:lncRNA